rnacentral:rRNA from 1 species
GACGGGGGAUGCAAGUGUUAUCCGGAAUCACUGGGCGUAAAGCGUCUGCAGGUGGUUUCCUAAGUCCACUGUUAAACCUUGAGGCUCAACCUCAAAUCUGCAUUGGAAACUAGGAGACUUGAGUAUAGUAGGGGUAGAGGGAAUUUCCAGUGGAGCGGUGAAAUGCGUAGAUAUUGGAAAGAACACCGAUGGCGAAGGCACUCUACUGGGUCUAUUACUGACACUCAGAGACGAAAGCUAGGGGAGCAAAUGGG